rnacentral:rRNA from 1 species
UACGCAAGGUGCAAGCGUUACUCGGAAUCACUGGGCGUAAAGCGCACGUAGGCGGACUCGUAGGUCAAUUGUGAAAUACCUGGGCUCAACCCAGGAACUGCAGUUGAAACCACUUGUCUUGAAUACCUGAGAGGGUGGGGGAAUACCUGGUGGAGAAGUGAAAUUCGUAGAGAUCAGGUGGAACACCGGAGGCGAAGGCGCCUGCCUGGCAGUGUAUUGACGCUGAGGUGCGAAAGUGCGGGGAGCAAACAGG